CACAUGAUUCUCGGCAACGGAUAUCUCGGCUCUCGUAUCGAUGAAGAACGUAGCAAAAUGCGGUACCUGAUGUGAAUUGCAGAUUCCCGCGAACCAUCGAGUUUUUGAAUGCAAGUUGCGCCCGAGACCAUCUGGUUGAGGGCACGUCUGCCUGGGCAUCACGC
rnacentral:rRNA from 1 species